AGAGUUUGAUCCUGGCUCAGAACGAACGCUGGCGGCGUGCCUAACACAUGCAAGUCGAACGGAGUGAAGGAGCUUGCUCUUUCAUUUAGUGGCGCACGGGUGAGUAACGCGUAGAUAAUCUGCCUUGGACUCUGGGAUAACAUCUCGAAAGGGGUGCUAAUACCGGAUAAGCCCACGAUGGCGUAAGUCAUUGCGGGAAAAGGGGGCCUCUGAAUAUGCUCCUGAUUCAAGAUGAGUCUGCGUACCAUUAGCUAGUUGGUAGGGUAAGAGCCUACCAAGGCGACGAUGGUUAGCUGGUCUGAGAGGAUGAUCAGCCACACUGGAACUGAGACACGGUCCAGACUCCUACGGGAGGCAGCAGUGGGGAAUUUUGCGCAAUGGGGGAAACCCUGACGCAGCAACGCCGCGUGAGUGAUGAAGGCUUUCGGGUCGUAAAGCUCUGUCUAGAGGGAAGAAAUGAUAAUCGGUUAAUACCCGGUUUUCUUGACGGUACCUCUGAAGGAAGCACCGGCUAACUCCGUGCCAGCAGCCGCGGUAAUACGGAGGGUGCAAGCGUUGUUCGGAUUUAUUGGGCGUAAAGCGCGUGUAGGCGGUUUGUUAAGUCUGAUGUGAAAGCCCUGGGCUCAACCUGGGAAGUGCAUUGGAAACUGGCAGACUUGAAUACGGGAGAGGGUAGUGGAAUUCCUAGUGUAGGAGUGAAAUCCGUAGAUAUUAGGAGGAACACCGGUGGCGAAGGCGGCUACCUGGACCGAUAUUGACGCUGAGACGCGAAAGCGUGGGGAGCAAACAGGAUUAGAUACCCUGGUAGUCCACGCCGUAAA
rnacentral:rRNA from 1 species